rnacentral:lncRNA from 1 species
GGGGUUAUGGUCCAAACGGUUUAAAAAUUAGGGGCCCAAAGGGGUCCAAAACAAGUAUUUAUUUAGUUUCUGGACAAUAAGUAUUUCAUUUGCUCUGAUAUUGUACCACAAUGUUCAUACCAUAAAGUAGAAGAUUGAAAUUUAUUUUAAGGGUUAUGGGGCAAACAGUCUUGGAAUUAAGGGCCAAAAAGGGUCCAAAAACAAGCAUUUUUGUAGUUUCGGGACAAUAACUUAUGUAUAACUGUAUGGAUCUCUCUGACAUUGUACCACAAGGGUUCCAUUUAACGAAGGGAAGGCUUUGGUUUAGUUUGGGGUUAAUAACCCUGAACAUUUAGGAAUAAGGGGCC